UUGGCGCCCGUGGGAUCUCAGGAAUGGGGGCUCCUCCCACCGCUCGCCAGCCCGGUUUCCCUAUCCACACUAAGUGUGUAUGUGGGUAUCCUAGGCGCACCACUCGACGUUCUUUUGCACUCCAACCGGUCAAGCCCUCCCAAAAUCCCGCAGCCAGCUCGAGGCCUGUGAUCUCCCGUAGUUUCCGCAUGGAACCUGGGCAGAGAAAGAACUGAGCUUACCCCUGUACGCAAAGGACCAUGUCCCAGAGGCAACAGCGGCUCGAGGAGUCGGGGCUCGGUGGGACGGAGGCAGAAGGGAGCCAGUGAGUCCCGAGGGCGCGAAGAUUUCCAAGAACUUUCCAGGAAAACUGGGCGGGAGGUCCUCGAAUUGACCAAUCGCAUCGCUGGGGGUGAGCCGAGCCGCUGGGCGGACCAAUUGAAGUGCAUGGACCCUGGACUGACGUGGCCGAGUGGGGCGGGACCUAGAGACUGGAACACUGGCCAAGCGAGCUGUGCUGAAGUUUGCUGCUACCACUGGAGCCACUCCCGUUGCUGGCUGCUUUGCACCUGGGACCUUCACCAACCAGAUCCAAGCAGCCUUUAGGGA